UGUGAGAAUAACAAGUGAUAAAGGUUCAGUGGGGAAAAAAUCGUAACUGAUGUCUAUUACCGCAUUACCGAGGUACGGGGAAAUGAGGGUGAAAUUUGACAUUUUUUCUUAAAACGUUGUCUUACGUGAUUCGUGUACGAACAGACGAAUUUAUUUCGUUUUAUAGAAUAAAACAACUAAUCUCUGAAACGGCUGGGCCGAUUUUGACGAGAUUUUCACUGCCAGAUAGCUGAUGUAAUAAGGAGUAACUUUGCCUAUAUUUUAUUUUAGAAAUUUAUUUAUUUAUUAAUUCUGCAAACUGAACAAUAACUUUUUUGUUAAAUUCCACGCGGACAAAGUCGCGGGCAAAGCUAGUUAAUAUAUAAAUAACUAAAAAUAUAAUGAAAAAUCAUUUUAAUGUGAUAGAUACAACUUGUACCGAUUUUGAAAAUGGUUUCACCUGGAGAUUGCUAAUUUGUCACUCAGUGACAUAGGCUAUAUUUAUAUGGAAGAAAUUGGAAAACAAAAUUGUGCCCCUCGGGCGAAUCUGCGGAUUAAAUGCUAGUUAUUAAUAAUAGUUCGCACACAUUUACCGAUUGUAUUACGAGCCAUUGUUUUUCCAAAAUCGUAAAAUUCAGGGAUAAAUUUGUGAUAUCGUCUGCAAAGGUCUUCUAAAUGAAUAAAGGUGUUUUUGAUGAAAUACAAACACAAAGUCUAUGUGUACAACUCUUAACACGUAGUUAAUAGUAAAGACACUGUAGUCAAAUGAAAAUAGAAUCAAGCAUUAGCUUAAUAGUUAAAGGAGCUCCUGGGAGUGAUUUAUGAGUAGGGUCGGCCACGCACUUGCAAUGUUUCUGGUAUUGCAGACGUCUAUAGGCUACGGUGAUCGCUUACCAUCAGGGGAGCCCGACGCUUUUUUGCCAAACUAGUUGUAUAAUAAAAAAAG
rnacentral:misc_RNA from 1 species